rnacentral:other from 1 species
GUUUAACGCAGAUAAAGGUUUUGGUUUCAUUACUCGCGAAGAUGGUAGCGAUGUAUUCGUACAUUUCUCAGCUAUCCAAGGCGACGGUUUUAAAACAUUAGAUGAAGGUCAAAAAGUAACUUUUGACGUUGAAGAUAGUGACCGUGGACCUCAAGCAGUUAACGUAAACAAAGAUUAAUUUAAAACUUAAACAACUUGCUGUUAUAGUAAGUUGUUUUUU